rnacentral:rRNA from 1 species
AUUGAACGCUGGCGGCAUGCCUUACACAUGCAAGUCGAACGGCAGCACGGACUUCGGUCUGGUGGCGAGUGGCGAACGGGUGAGUAAUGUAUCGGAACGUACCUUUCAGUGGGGGAUAACGUAGCGAAAGUUACGCUAAUACCGCAUAUUCUGUGAGCAGGAAAGCAGGGGAUCGCAAGACCUUGCGCUGAUUGAGCGGCCGAUAUCAGAUUAGCUAGUUGGUGAGGUAAAGGCUCACCAAGGCGACGAUCUGUAGCGGGUCUGAGAGGAUGAUCCGCCACACUGGAACUGAGACACGGUCCAGACUCCUACGGAGGCAGCAGUGGGGAAUUUUGGACAAAUGGGGGCAACCCUGAUCCAGCCAUGCCGCGUGAGUGAUGAAGGCCU